rnacentral:lncRNA from 1 species
CAGCUAAGGAGGUUGCCGGAGAAGCCCCCGAUGCCGAGGAUGCCCCUGACACCGACGCAGCCGCCCCGGGUGCACCCCCCGCGUAGUUUCCUUCCUUCUCUUUUUUUUUCUUGCAAGUAGCGCAUGGCGCCUUAGAACUUUUUUUAUGUUAGCUUUCCCUAGUCAUUACCAGUGUUACUCGUUAACUCGUUUUGCUCAAGCUUCAAUAUUUAUCCGAUGCUAUUUUUACUUGCUCCUUUGCCUAAAACUAGCUUGCCGGGGAGGGGCUCUGUCCUUCCCGUGUUUUAGCCUUGCGUACCCGGGGACUCGCCAACCACAUG